GGGGAAGCCAGGCUGGAGCAGACACGACUUUUGAGGUAAAGCAGGUGCCCAUGGAGACCCGCAGAGCCGGCCUGCCCUGGAAUCGCGGCUGCUUCCUCCUCCCUUGAGAGCCUUCUGUCUCCCAGGUCCAUGUCUCAGCCAUGCUCCCCACGGAGGUCCCCCAAUCCCACCCGGGCCCCUCAGCGUUGCUUCUGCUGCAGCUGUUGCUGCCCCCCACAUCUGCCUUCUUCCCCAACAUCUGGAGCCUGCUGGCUGCCCCUGGCUCCAUCACCCACCAAGACCUAACUGAGGAGGCAGCGCUCAACGUCACCCUGCAGCUCUUCCUGGAGCAGCCACCCCCAGGCCGCCCCCCUCUUCGUCUUGAGGACUUCCUGGGUCGAACACUCCUUGCUGAUGACCUCUUUGCCGCCUACUUUGGACCUGGUUCUUCUCGGCGGUUCCGAGCAGCCUUAGGUGAGGUGUCUCGUGCCAAUGCAGCCCAGGACUUCCUGCCAACUUCCAGGAAUGACCCCGACCUGCACUUUGAUGCUGAGCGACUGGGUCAGGGACGCGCGCGCC
rnacentral:sRNA from 1 species